ACUGCUCAGUAACACGUGGAUAACCUGCCCUUGGGACCGGCAUAACCCCGGGAAACUGGGGAUAAUUCCGGAUACCGCAUAUAUGCUGGAAUGCUUUAUGCGUGAAAUGGAUUCGUCUGCCCAAGGAUGGGUCUGCGGCCUAUCAGGUAGUAGUGGGUGUAAUGUACCUACUAGCCAACGACGGGUACGGGUUGUGAGAGCAAGAGCCCGGAGAUGGAUUCUGAGACAUGAAUCCAGGCCCUACGGGGCGCAGCAGGCGCGAAAACUUUACAAUGCGGGAAACCGUGAUAAGGGGACACCGAGUGCCAGCAUCAUAUGCUGGCUGUCCAGGUGUGUAAACUACACCUGUUAGCAAGGGCCGGGCAAGACCGGUGCCAGCCGCCGCGGUAACACCGGCGGCCCGAGUGGUGAUCGUGUUUAUUGGGUCUAAAGGGUCCGUAGCCGGUUUGGUCAGUCCUCCGGGAAAUCUGACGGCUUAACCGUUAGGCUUUCGGGGGAUACUGCCAGGCUUGGAACCGGGAGAGGUAAGAGGUACUACAGGGGUAGGAGUGAAAUCUUGUAAUCCCUGUGGGACCACCUGUGGCGAAGGCGUCUUACCAGAACGGGUUCGACGGUGAGGGACGAAAGCUGGGGGCACGAACCGGAUUAGAUACCCGGGUAGUCCCAGCCGUAAACGAUGCUCGCUAGGUGUCAGGCAUGGCGCGACCGUGUCUGGUGCCGCAGGGAAGCCGUGAAGCGAGCCACCUGGGAAGUACGGCCGCAAGGCUGAAACUUAAAGGAAUUGGCGGGGGAGCAC
rnacentral:rRNA from 1 species